CCUACGGGUGGCAGCAGUGGGGAAUAUUGCACAAUGGGGGAAACCCUGAUGCAGCGACGCCGCGUGAGUGAAGAAGUAAUUCGUUAUGUAAAGCUCUAUCAGCCGGGAAGAAAAUGACGGUACCUGAGUAAGAAGCCCCGGCUAACUACGUGCCAGCAGCCGCGGUAAUACGUAGGGGGCAAGCGUUAUCCGGAUUUACUGGGUGGAAAGGGAGCGUAGACGGCAGUGCAAGUCUGGAGUGAAAGGCGGGGGCUCAACCCCCGGACUGCUCUUGAAACUGUACGGCUGGAGUGCAGGAGAGGUAAGUGGAAUUCCUAGUGUAGCGGUGAGAUGCGUAGAUAUUAGGAGGAACACCAGUGGCGAAGGCGGCUUACUGGAGUGUAACUGACGUUGAGGCACGAAAGCGUGGGGAGCAAACAGGAUUAGAUACCCGUGUAGUC
rnacentral:rRNA from 1 species